UUGCAUGAUGGAAACCAAUUUUCAGCUCUUUGUUCUUUAAGGAGCAUGAAUAUAUCCAUAACAUGCUACAUAAAUGAGGAGCUGUCAGGGCUGCCAGCCUUUUAGUUAAGGCUGUGUGGUAGUAUAUUUCUCCAACACUG
rnacentral:snoRNA from 13 species